GUUGAAUUGAACAGGAAACAUUCACGGGAAAUCUGCAGGUGUCUGCAAGCAAGAGUGACGCUAGAAGGAUCUUAGUAUGCCAGCUCCCUCUUCCUCAAGGGUAGUGUCCCUGGAAUGAAGCCACCAGCAACAGGAGAGGAAACAGAUGGGGUUGUAGAAAGUAGGAGCAGCAAAAGCUUCUGAACUUAGUAAUAAGCUGCUUGCCCCGGGGAGAGUCCUGCUCCUCGCUUAGCUCAGCACAGCGAGUCCCCUGGCUUCAGCUUCCCUCCUGAGCACCUGACGGUUGUCGGUUUACUGUGACUCACUGCCAUUCUAUCUGCCUGGGCUUAUGUUUCCAGCAUCUCACCAGAGCUGUUGUGACCCAUCUCCUGGGCAAAGCCUUCCACGGAGAGGCUGCCGGGCCAGCAGGAGAGGAGACCCAAUCCAUCCAUCAGCAUUUGAAUAAUUCCAUCCACACAUACUUCUCUUCCAAACACCCGGGCUAUUUUCCUUUCCCUGAGCCAUGCAAGCCCAAGGAGCCAGCAGGGUUGCGUGCUCUCAGGAGUAGGACACGUCACAUCAACUUGAGUGCUCCAGGAGCCCUGCCACAAUGGUUUCUUUGUGAGAUCAUCUUUGCAGCGGUUUCCUGAAGCUCUGGCCUCCUUCCUGGUAUCUUCACACAUUCUAGGUGUUUCAAUUCAGUAAAAACAUAAGGGCCUUUUGACUGCUCACUCCUGCACUUCACACUGGGAAGGACACAGAAGUCCCCAGAGAGUGCCCUGGACGACAAAAUGUAGUUCAGAGGUAUCUAAGGGAAAGGGGACCUGAGAGAAGCCUAAGAGAAAACUCCUGAUGCUU
rnacentral:lncRNA from 1 species